ensembl:lncRNA
CAGCUCCACGCGGGGACACUGGGCAGGGGAGGGGAGGUGUCUCAUCCAGCUGUCGACCAACAGAACCCAGCGAUGCCACAGACAGAGAGAGCCAGGGCCACCCGCUCAGCUGAGCCCCAGUCCCUGGGCAGGGGUGGGUGUCCCCUGAGAAGCUGGUGGCCAGCACCAGGCUGGGGCCCGGACAGGGGGUUUGCCCUCCCCCUCAGCCCUCUGCCCUGGCCCUGAAGGAGCUGCUGGUCCAGAGAGCUUGGACUCAGCACUGGUAGCCUGGAACCAUCUACCUGACCCAAGAGGCUGGUUUCCAACCCAAAGCCAGACACUUGGUUCUGAUGUCCAUCUAAGCGGGGAGAACGUGGGACCUGUCACUUCUGCACUUCUGCUCUAGGGAGAGACAAGCCGGGGAGAGGUGGCUGCAGAGUCUGGAAUGAAGUUGGGAGCCAGAGCAUCCCUCCCCUUCUGGCCCGGAGGGAACGGGCAGGGCCCUGACUGGCAGCAUCGCAGGAAAGCAGGCAGGGCGCUGCACCAGACCCCGACUCAGGACCCCGCCCCGCGGGCAGGUGGGCAAGGAGCCCUCGGGGCUCAGGUUCCUCACCUAAAAAGGGGUGUGUGUGUGUGUGUGUGUCUGUGUGUCUGUGUGUGUGUGCGCGCGCGCGCACACGCGCGCACAACCAAGGGCCCCCAGGUUCAUUUCUACCUGCUCUAAAAUCCUUUGAUUUUAAGAUGACACUUUCAGUUUCCUGAAACUGUAAGAAAGAGGAAACAUGACGGAGUCUGUGACUUAUAAAAAGCAAAAGUAAAUACCGGAGCCAUGCGUCUUCCAUUAGCAGGGAGCGGGGAGGCGGGGAGCAGGGGUGAGUCACUGUUUACUGCUCCAAAGAGCAGCUACGCAGCGGACGCUUCCCCUGGCCGGGGCGCCACUUCCCGUGCAGACGGGACCCUACAUCCAGAACGUCCACUCCAGAAGCCUCAGACUCAGGCGCAGCCAGGACACGGACAGCGAUCCUGGGUUGCCUGAGGUUGUAAACAAACUCCCAGCCAAGGCAGAGCCCCAGAGUGAGAGCAGGCACCGCGGGGGACAAAGAACGGCCCGGAAAGCGACCUCACUCAGCGGCAGCUUCAGCCUCAGCGCCGGAGAAAGGGCUGGAACGCAGCGAGCCCCGAGCCGACGUCCCCAGUAGCCUCGAUUCAACUCCCAUUUUUAGCAACCACCUUGAAAGCGAGCGAUGCUGAACUUGGAAGCCGGCCCUUAAAGCCCAGCUCUGCUCCAGCACAAAAGGCCAACGUGCUCCCGGGAGAAGCCUCGCGCUGCGGUUCUGUGCUGACAAAAGUCUUCUUCUGGGAGAAUGAGAGGUCCAGCUUUAAGUCAGAAAAGCAGACACCCUCUCCCGGGCUCAGGUGCCAGCACUGCUACUGGACCCCAGGAGGACCAUCCUCUGAAAAGGGUCAACAAGCCACAACAGCCACAGGCUGCAGGUGCCCCCCCCCCACCCACACAGCCCACCUUCCGUUUCCAAACCCUCCCGGCUCCGUAGACCAAGGCUUUUUAAAAAAGCCAUCCCCCUGAAGACAGGAGGCUUGGAGCCUCGGCUCCAGACACGGCACACAUCAAGACACCUGUGUGGCAACUGCUCUGCCGGCAAAACUUCACCAAUGCCAGUGGGGGGAGGGAGUGGGCAGCCCCGCAGCCAAGCCUCCAGGCAGGGGCACCCACUGAUCACCCAGAGACCCGGAAGCUCCCUGAGGCCAGGCACCUGGCAAGGGCUGGCUGAGUAUUGGUCAACUGCUGAAUGAACUCUUAAGUGGAAGAUCCAUUUUUGCCUUGGCUACAAAAGAGCUGUGCGUUAAGGUAAACAGGCAGUAAUCAUUAACGCGAGACAGAGCAGGGAACUUCCUGCAACCCCCAACACAGCAGGGCUCCCGGACUGUGGGCAGAAUGUGGGCAAGCGCGCUUUGGGGAAGACUGCACAACACGUGGCGGCGAGGGAGCCUACUACUACGGAGACCGGAGACGGAGGGCACAGCGAUUUGCUUUUCUAAGGCAGACCCGGGGCCGGAGCGAAACAUUUCCCCUCCCGCCCGGUCCUGGAGAAGGCGUGGAAGCAGGCGGACCGACACUUCAUCUGUUUCCUGAACUCAGCACAGGCAGAGAAAAACCCGCUUUUAGAGUUAGGGGAUGGACACCUCCCCCCUUCACAGAAGGGAGAAAAAAUGUGACGCGGGGCCAUGGGGUUCGGAAGUGACGCGUUCCGGGUCCCCCUCCCCACCCCAAGCUUCCACACCGAGACCUCCCUAUGGGAACCCCGGAAAGUGACGUGACGGGCGAGGGGCCUUCUCGCCCUGCCCACCCUCGGGGCGGCGGGGACCGGGGCGGC